rnacentral:rRNA from 1 species
UACGAAGGGGUCUAGCGUUGCUCGGAAUCACUGGGCGUAAAGCGCACGUAGGCGGCUUUUUAAGUCAGGGGUGAAAUCCUGGAGCUCAACUCCAGAACUGCCUUUGAUACUGAGAAGCUUGAGUCCGGGAGAGGUGAGUGGAACUGCGAGUGUAGAGGUGAAAUUCGUAGAUAUUCGCAAGAACACCAGUGGCGAAGGCGGCUCACUGGCCCGGUACUGACGCUGAGGUGCGAAAGCGUGGGGAGCAAACAGG